UCUAUGGCCAUGCUACCCUGAACGAGCCUGAUCUCUUCUGGUCUUGGAAGCUAAGCAGGGUUGGGCCUGGUUAAUACUUGGAUGGGAGACCACCUAGGAAGACCAGGUGCUAUAAGAG
rnacentral:rRNA from 1 species